rnacentral:rRNA from 1 species
AUACAUGCAAGUCGAACGCGUCUCCGUUAAUGAUUUUAGGUGCUUGCACUUGAAAGAUUUAACAUUGAGACGAGUGGCGAACUGGUGAGUAACACGUGGGUAACCUGCCCUUGAAGUAGGGGAUAACACUUGGAAACAGGUGCUAAUACCGUAUAACAACCAAAACCACCUGGUUUUGGUUUAAAAGACGGCUUCGGCUGUCACUUUAGGAUGGACCCGCGGCGUAUUAGCUUGUUGGUAAGGUAACGGCUUACCAAGGCGAUGAUACGUAGCCGACCUGAGAGGGUAAUCGGCCACAUUGGGACUGAGACACGGCCCAAACUCCUACGGGAGGCAGCAGUAGGGAAUCUUCCACAAUGGACGAAAGUCUGAUGGAGCAACGCCGCGUGAGUGAUGAAGGGUUUCGGCUCGUAAAACUCUGUUGUUGGAGAAGAACAGGUGUCAGAGUAACUGUUGACAUCUUGACGGUAUCCAACCAGAAAGCCACGGCUAACUACGUGCCAGCAGCCGCGGUAAUACGUAGGUGGCAAGCGUUGUCCGGAUUUAUUGGGCGUAAAGCGAGCGCAGGCGGUUUUUUAGGUCUGAUGUGAAAGCCUUCGGCUUAACCGGAGAAGUGCAUCGGAAACCGGGAGACUUGAGUGCAGAAGAGGACAGUGGAACUCCAUGUGUAGCGGUGAAAUGCGUAGAUAUAUGGAAGAACACCAGUGGCGAAGGCGGCUGUCUGGUCUGUAACUGACGCUGAGGCUCGAAAGC